rnacentral:lncRNA from 1 species
CAGCGUUUGAGCUACUAGGUAUGCUCCACAACGCUGAAGACAAAGAAAUUAUAGAUUCCUCCCUCGUGGGUGCGGAUGGGCCCCCAGUCGGCUCAGCACAAGGACUGAGGACAGGAAGAAACCAGGAGGCCAAGGCUGAAGCUAGAAACAGAGAAAUUAAUGUCCAGAGAAUAUCAAGAAACUGAAGCUUCCUAGAGCUUCCUAGCACCAGAAUGCACCAUCCACCAUGGAGACAAACAGCCAAGGAUACCCAUCUGUGAAUUCUCUUAUCUUGCCCUGCAACUAGCCUCACAAGGCCAGAUGCAAACUGGAAUAUAAGCUAUAUGAAGUCAGAAUCUGC